GUCCAGCCCGAUGUCCGCGGAUCGCCGCCGCUGAGGCCCCGACCCAAGCCAACAAGAAUGAACACUCACGUGUUUCGUCGGAAAAGAAGAACAAAGAUUGCUGGGAGGGAGAUUUUAUAUGGCGCCAAGUGCCGCGAGAACUAGACUGCAACGUUCCUAUCGCGAGUGUUCCAAGGGCCUAUAAGACAGCUUGUGAUUGGCUUCACGGGGCCUCGUCAGCUCUGCGUGCGCCUGCGCGUCUUCGGUUUCUCGGAGUCACUAUAAAUCGCCGCUCCGCUGCGCGCGCCUUCGCAGGCUGCAGGACUACCGGAUGCCCCAAGCCUGAGGCCGACGCCGCCAGGAUCGUGGCAGUAAAGGGACUUCGCUGUCCUCUUUUUUUGUUUAUCUACUUAAUUUAUUUUGUCCUAAUUUUUUAAUAAAGCUAUUUAUUAAAAA